AAAUUGAAGAGUUUGAUCAUGGCUCAGAUUGAACGCUGGCGGCAGGCCUAACACAUGCAAGUCGAGCGGUAGCACAGAGAGCUUGCUCUCGGGUGACGAGCGGCGGACGGGUGAGUAAUGUCUGGGAAACUGCCUGAUGGAGGGGGAUAACUACUGGAAACGGUAGCUAAUACCGCAUAAUGUCGCAAGACCAAAGUGGGGGACCUUCGGGCCUCAUGCCAUCAGAUGUGCCCAGAUGGGAUUAGCUAGUAGGUGGGGUAACGGCUCACCUAGGCGACGAUCCCUAGCUGGUCUGAGAGGAUGACCAGCCACACUGGAACUGAGACACGGUCCAGACUCCUACGGGAGGCAGCAGUGGGGAAUAUUGCACAAUGGGCGCAAGCCUGAUGCAGCCAUGCCGCGUGUGUGAAGAAGGCCUUCGGGUUGUAAAGCACUUUCAGCGGGGAGGAAGGCGUUAAGGUUAAUAACCUUGGCGAUUGACGUUACCCGCAGAAGAAGCACCGGCUAACUCCGUGCCAGCAGCCGCGGUAAUACGGAGGGUGCAAGCGUUAAUCGGAAUUACUGGGCGUAAAGCGCACGCAGGCGGUCUGUCAAGUCGGAUGUGAAAUCCCCGGGCUCAACCUGGGAACUGCAUUCGAAACUGGCAGGCUAGAGUCUUGUAGAGGGGGUAGAAUUCCAGGUGUAGCGGUGAAAUGCGUAGAGAUCUGGAGGAAUACCGGUGGCGAAGGCGGCCCCUGGACAAAGACUGACGCUCAGGUGCGAAAGCGUGGGGAGCAAACAGGAUUAGAUACCCUGGUAGUCCACGCCGUAAACGAUGUCGAUUUGGAGGUUGUGCCCUUGAGGCGUGGCUUCCGGAGCUAACGCGUUAAAUCGACCGCCUGGGGAGUACGGCCGCAAGGUUAAAACUCAAAUGAAUUGACGGGGGCCCGCACAAGCGGUGGAGCAUGUGGUUUAAUUCGAUGCAACGCGAAGAACCUUACCUGGUCUUGACAUCCACAGAACUUUCCAGAGAUGGAUUGGUGCCUUCGGGAACUGUGAGACAGGUGCUGCAUGGCUGUCGUCAGCUCGUGUUGUGAAAUGUUGGGUUAAGUCCCGCAACGAGCGCAACCCUUAUCCUUUGUUGCCAGCGGUUCGGCCGGGAACUCAAAGGAGACUGCCAGUGAUAAACUGGAGGAAGGUGGGGAUGACGUCAAGUCAUCAUGGCCCUUACGACCAGGGCUACACACGUGCUACAAUGGCAUAUACAAAGAGAAGCGACCUCGCGAGAGCAAGCGGACCUCAUAAAGUAUGUCGUAGUCCGGAUUGGAGUCUGCAACUCGACUCCAUGAAGUCGGAAUCGCUAGUAAUCGUAGAUCAGAAUGCUACGGUGAAUACGUUCCCGGGCCUUGUACACACCGCCCGUCACACCAUGGGAGUGGGUUGCAAAAGAAGUAGGUAGCUUAACCUUCGGGAGGGCGCUUACCACUUUGUGAUUCAUGACUGGGGUGAAGUCGUAACAAGGUAACCGUAGGGGAACCUGCGGUUGGAUCACCUCCUUA
rnacentral:rRNA from 1 species